ensembl:lncRNA
CGGAUGGAUCCGAGGAGCGUUCUGCUGCUGGCAGCCUUUCCACGUGGGAGCAGAGGAAAAUCAUCCAUCUCCCAUCUGCCAACUCCAGUGCAGGCAGCGCUGUGAGUGCAUCCCCAGCUCGGAUAGAUGGCCGCAAAAUAAAUCAUCUUCUACCCCUCUGGUCCAAGGAGCCACCAAGAGCUUUUUGCUGUGGGAUAGCAGCAUUCCUGCCCCACUGAUUUAUGACCUCCGCUCAGCACAGAGCAUUACUCACAGGACAGCUGGAGGCUUGGAGCAGCACCUUUCUGCUCUCCCCUGGGCCAAGACAUGACUGCUCCUGGAGGAGAUGGUUUCAGCUCUCUGUUGAACGCAGGUCUGGAUGUCUCAUGGAAUGGGAGCUCCUUUUCCAGGGAUUCAGGUGUAAGAAUGACAGAAGAGGUUCCGCCAAAAGAAGCCUCACCUAGAGAUGCAAUGAGGAUCAAAGCUGUGCUGUGAAGUUCAGAAGUGCUUCCCUGCAUGUUUUCCUCUCUCCAUAACGUACUUCUGCAUCUCUCUGCACCGUGCAUUGCCUGGGAAGGAAGCAGAGGCAGCAAAGCUCUGUUUCUCUGGGGACUUCUCCUCUUACAGCAAUGGAGAAGUGCGACAAUUGCUUUGGAGAAAGCUUGAUGUGAGGCAUUCCACAUCCCGGGGACACCCCGUUGCAUUUGUGGGGAGAAAAAGAGCGCAGACACCUGCAGCUGACCAACACGCACACCCUGGCAUCCUGUGGGCUCAAUGCACAGAGCCUUCCCUCCUCGAGCUCCCGGCAGUGCCCUCUCUGGGAAACGGCUUUCCAUGUCCGUGCCGCUCCGCCUCGCUGAGCCCGAGCCGGGAGGAUCUGUAGCAUCCAACAUCGUUGGCCCAAAACGCGGCGUGUCCAAUUAUUCGCCUGGAUGAUGGGGAGCUCCCGGGAGAAGCCCAACGACAACAGCAAAGUGAGGAAAUCAGUGUGCUGUGGGGCGGUGGGACCCCCAUGCUGGUGUCUGUGGCACAGUGUGGGGCUGAGCAGUCACAGAACUGCAGAAUCGGGAAGGCUGGGAAGAUCUCUGAGAACCCCAAGCCCACCCCACAGUGCCCACUGGCUGUGCUCUCAGUGCUGCAUCUCCACCGUUCAGGUACACCUCCAGGAAGCCCCUGGGUGCUGCUGUGCCGUGGGUCUCACCACACCUCAGAGCUUCUCAUCCCUCCUGCUGCUCUGUCCAAGGCCACAGGGUGGGUGUCGGGUGGUACCGAGAGCCUCCAUGUCCUGCUUUGGGGAGUUGGUAUCCACAGCCUUCAAGGCUUGGCUGGGGCAGCGCAGGUGCUGGUGGCCUCGUGAUGCUGGAAAGCCAUGUUCAUCCUCCUUGGUCUUUGUGGCUCAGCUGGUGCUGUGUGGGUAAUGCCUCACAUCUGCUGUGUGCACAGCACAACAUGGUCCUGGGAACCUGAAAGACGUGGAAGAAAACCAAGUCCUGUCCUUCAUGCAGCUUCUGCCACAAGCUCUGCUCCAUUAAUCUUCUUCCUGGCAUCAGUUUUCUGAAGCCUCGGUAUGUAAUGCGUUCAGCAGCACUGCGCGUUUGCUUUUUAUUUCUCCUUCUCCCCUAGGUCUCGUUGGCUUUGUAACAAGGCACAGAACGACCUGAUGAUGGGAAGGAUGUACAGAUGCUUCUCAGUUGGGCACUGUGUGGCUCUGAGCGCUCACCUCAAGCUGCUGGCUCUGCCCCCAGGUGCUCCCCCGUUGGCAGGAGGGAUGCUGCUGCUCCUGUCACAGCUGUCCCCUUAUGGCUGCAGAACCCUUGCUCGGGGCUCCUGAUACCCAGGGCUGGUCCAGGUGCUCCUGGAGUCCGGCCAGCUGUGAUAAAUCUCCUUAAUUGCAGCUCAUUGUAAUUAUGCUUUAUAUGGAGCUGAUGCUAUUACUGCUGGGUGCUUUGGCCUGAUCAAUCCUAAGCAGGAGAUCUCUAGCCCUCCUUGGGGGCUGGGGACAUUGAGCUCCAGGGUUUGCUGGGGCUGGUGGAGCUGGCUUUCAGCCCUGUGCUGCAAUGGGCAGAGUGCAGGAGCAAAGGUAGUGGGGAGAUGGCCAUCCGUACCUCACUUCAUUUUGGUACUGUCCACCCAAGAACCUGUCUGGUGCGUGUGCAGAAGAACCUUCAGCAUUAAUGACCCUCUGAAAGGUAAGCGAUCAGAGAAUCAUUACGGUUGGAAAUGGCAUCUGAGAUCCCCACCCCACCAUGCCCACUGACCACGUCCCUCGGUGCCACAUCUCUAUGUUCUCUGAGCAUCCCCAGGGAUGGAGACCUCCACCGCUCCCUGGGCACCCUGUGCUGGUGCAUUACAGCUCUUCAGAGAAGAAAUGUUUCCAGAUGUCCAGCCUGAUCCUCUCCUGGUGCAAUGUGGGACCAUCACCUCUCAUCCAAUCAACACCACUGCCAUCUCCAGCCCUUCUCUAAGCGCUCCAUGCAUCCACAGCAGGUAUUGAGGUCACGUUUUGGGCACGCAGCCCCAUUUGCUGAGGGGUGAGGUGAGUGUUGUGAGUCAGAAUGAGUUUUCCCAUAGGAAAUGCCCCACGGUCUCUUCCCACCCAGCAGCGGGCGCUCCCGACCCGGGGUGCUCCAUGGAUCAUGGCACGGCUCCAUCUGGCUGAUCCCAAGGAAUGCCCAGGCGCAGCCGCAGCUCCGGGGGAUUAAACUGAAGUCUAACGUUACACCCCUUGGAAGAGCAGAGCUUUACUUGGAAACCGAAUCGCAUUAAUUAGCAUUCUGCUAAUGGCUGUUUUGUAUAAAUAUAGUGUGCCUUAAUACCAACACGAGUCGCAGGUUGACAUAUUUAGAUCGCUGAUAUCAAAGUCAUUAACGCCUCUCCGUGGUAAACCUAUUCUCAGUUCGGGCUGCAAAUGGGAUUCUCCUGAGCCAAUCAAUCUUCCUAAAGCCUGAGCAGAGCCUGUUGAUCUUUAGCCACUGAAUGGAUGCAGCUUCCCAGAAAUGUGCUUGCAUCUGUCAGAAUUAUAAGCAGCUGGCAGCCCCAGACAGGGGUCAUAUUUGCCGUGAGUGUGAAAAUAGGAUCCCAGGACAAGAAAUGCUACUUAGCAGCGUAUCGAUUCUGGGCGUGCUAUUAAUGUUGCAGCACAAUGCGUGUGUGUGUCCGUGCAGGCACUCCUGCACAUGCCAAUUAUGUAUUUAUACGCAAGGUCUCCUCUCACACAGACCCCGUGGUCCUGGAGCUGAUCCAGGGCUUAUUAAAACUUGGUGACAUCAAAGGAUGGGAAAGGUCUGCCCGAGCUGAGGAACUCGGAGAGCUUAACAAUUAUUUUGCCUUAAUUCCCUCCUAAUUUAUCGUCUUUUUAUUGCCCUGAUUAAAAGCUCCCCUGUUUGAUAGCGGCACCGAAGGUAAUGGCGUUCUUCCGAGACUGAUGGGUGGCAAUUCCAGCAGGGGCUGCUGCCAUCUGUGGGGCACUGCUGUGGGUUUCUGUUGCAGCGUUGCCACCACAGCCACACUGCCAGCGCGGUGCCAUCCCUGUGCUGCUCUGUGUGCCAGGCUGUGCGCUCAGCAUCGUGCCUCCUCAUGGCGCAGCCCCACAGCUCGACCCGGUGCUCAUCGCAGUGCUGUUCCGUGCUGGUUAUUAUUAGAUGGCACUGACAUGGAUCAAAGCACGUAAGCCCAACUUCUGAAGCACGCAACCACCAACCUCGUCCAGGAGAUCUUGCUCAUUGCUGCAGCUUAGGGCCAAGCGUUUUAGCUUGAGCGUUUUCAGCCUUGGAUUACAAAUUGCAACACUUCUGAAGUCUGUGGGACUCAGCGCCUUCAGUUCCCAUGCUGGGGAUGGUGAAGGGAUACUCCUGCAUCUGUUCCAUGAGAUUGCCAAGCAGCACAAUGGGAAACAUGCUGGGCAACAAAUGGGAAUGGGCCGGCAGCAGUGAGAGCUGACUUUGUCAGUGGAGUUUUUUGGUGUUAUUUUUCUAAUUUUUUUCUUUUUCUUUGGUUGGGAGGACAUAAUAACACCUGUGCUUGGCUGAUGGAUGUUAAAUAACGCUCCUCUCCUGGAUCAAGGCAGACAGCAUGUAACACUGAGGUCCGUGUGCUGCACUGUUUACCCUGACCCCCUGUUUGGGUUGUCUGGGGCUGAGCUGCUCUCCGUGGAGCUCUGGAGCGGCUGCAGUUCACCAUCGGAAGUUUCUAGAAUUGGACCCAUCAGUAAAGGUAUUGCACAAAAAUGAGCGUGAGGCAAGAGAGCGGUCAGGGUGUGGGAAAUACACUUGGUAUGAAUGACUGUGAGUAUGGACUGAUGCUGCCAGGCGUCAUCACAUGCUCACUGCUGCCUGUCCUCACCCAUCUGCACCGUGUGCGUCUUCAGCUGCAACUGGGCUGCUUGCUUAUCAUACCCAGGUGCCUGCCAAAUGGGAAAGCUGUCUUCAAAAAGAUAUAAGCGGGGAUGAUUCUUAUGCCAUUAUUGCUCAGGGUCUGCUGAAUGCUUGCAGGGCAAAGCAGUGCAUCCUUGAGAAUGUCUGAAAUGCUGCGUUAUAGGCGCACCAGUUGCAAAAUAGAUUUAAAUUACGUCGAGCAACAUGCUGCGGAAUUUAUGCUUCCAAUUUCUCCAUUUAGUGGUGAAUCAGGCUUGUUUGCAUUGCCAGCUAAUCUUUCUGCCAGAGUUGUUAAUGUGCUCUGACCCCUCUUUAACUCUGCAUGCUGAGCUUGCCAUUCAGCUUUUCUCUUUUAGCAGUGAAUCAGCCACAUGUGCCGGAGCCCCACUGCACAGCCCCUGUGGGCUGGAGGUGGCCUUGAGUGGCUUUUCCUGGUGAGACUCUGAGAUUUCAUUUGCUUGCAAGAAACCUGAGUUCUCUAGACGUUGCACCUUGCUUUCUCUGGAAGGCUUCCAGCAUUCAUUCUUGACAGGGAGCCAGCUCAGGCUGCCGUCCUGCUGCUGGAGGGCACUCCCAGCCCGGUGCUGUUGGGAAGCCCUGCUGCUCCCACACCAGCACGGUGCUUUUUGCACUGAGCGUGGCCCAAGUUGCAACCACAGCCCGUGACUCAUUUGCUCAGUGCUUGCCAAGGCUGCUGAGUGGCUCCUGCUGCUCCCAGGGUGCCUCCCGUGCCCUGUAGGCUGCUGCUGCAUCUCCCUUCAUGUUCUGCUGGCACCACAGAUGUCUGUGUACUGCACCUCCUUAAAAUGAUAGAAUCAUUCUGGUUGGAGAAGACCUCUGGGAUCCCCAGCCCAUCCCACCAAGCCCACUGACCAUACAUCCCUCAGUGCCCCACCUCCAUGCUCCCUGGGCACCCCCAGGAAUGGUGACCCCAGCACUCCCUGGGCAGCCUGUCCUGGUGUGUUUCAGCUCUUUUGGAGAAUAAAUGUCCCCUAAAAUCCAACCUGAGCUCCCCUGGCACCACUUAAGGCCAUUCCCUAGACGUAAAACCCGAGAACCAUUAGGACCUCUAAGAUCAUCAGGUCCAACCAACCAACCCACCACCAUGACCACUCAUCCAAGUAUUUCUUUAGGGAGGAUGUAGGAUGCUGUAGAAGUGCUGUUCCCAGUGCCCAGCGUCCACUCAGGGCUCCCAUGUGUCUGAAGCAUAGCCAACCGGCCACUAAUGCCCCCUCCUCAGCUGGCGCUAUGGUGCAGUCCCACGUAGAGUAUGCCAAUGGGGAAUCCCUCCACGGUGCACUGAGGGCACACUGCCCCCGAUGCACCCGCACGCACGCAGCCUGCAAAAUCGAAUAACAACCAGUUUAAAAACAUACUAAAACCAGAAAAUUUAUGUAGCAUGACCCAAAUUGAAUUAUACAUUACAGCACUGUAAUUGAUUUUUUAGAAGAGAGAUUAAAUUUAUUUUAUGCCUCACUAACUAACAGCUAGAUUUACCUAAUUGCUUAGAGUGCAGAGUUAGUAUGAUUCAUUAAACCCCAUACAUGCCUGGGUACAUUACACUGUGACUAAAGCUUCCCUGCUUCGAGCAAUUAAAGUGGAGAAACUUGGGGCCUCAUAAGUAAUUGAAUAUAACAAUACGGCUUGGAGUUGCUGUGGAUGUCUUAUUAAGUUCUUCAAGCAAAAAGACACACGUUCCCUCCGUUCUCCAGUGAAUCAUUUUGUGAGAUUCUCUAUGACUGGUGUUGUUUUCUCCUAUUGCCAAAAAAUAAAAUAAAAUAAAAUAAAAAAU